rnacentral:lncRNA from 1 species
CCAGCCUCUUUUUUUUUUUUGAGUCCCCUCUGUCGCCCAGGCUGGAGUGCAGUGGUGCAAUCUUGGCUCACUGCAACCUCUGCCUCCCGGGUUCAAGCAAUUCUCCUGCCUCAGCCUCCUGAGUAGCUGGGACUUGCACCACCAUGCCUGGCUAAUUUUUGUAUUUUUUUUUAGUAAGAGACAGGGUUUCACCAUGUUGGCCAGGCUGUUCUGGAACUCCUGACCUCAGGUGAUCCACCUGCCCUGGCCUCUCAAAAGUGCUGGGAUUACAGGCGUGAGCCACCCACCCCACUCUGUUGUCACCAUUUCGUGUGCAUUAUUGCUCCUCAUGAGGUUGCAGUCAGAUGUCAGCUGGGGCUGCAGU